AUUGAACGCUAGCGGGAUGCUUAACACAUGCAAGUCGAACGAGUGGCGGACGGGUGAGUAAUAUAGCGGAACGUGCCCAGUAGCGGGGGAUAACUACUCGAAAGAGUGGCUAAUACCGCAUAAUAUUGGAUCGGCCGAUAUCGGAUUAGCUAGUUGGUGGGGUAAAGGCUCACCAAGGAAACGAUCCGUAGCUGGUGUGAGAGGACGACCAGCCACACUGGGACUGAGACACGGCCCAGACUCCUACGGGAGGCAGCAGUGGGGAAUUUUGGACAAUGGGGGAAAGCCUGAUCCAGCCAUCCCGCGUGUGUGAGAAGGCCUUCGGGUUGUAAAGUACUUUUGGCAGAGAAGCGGUAUCUGCAGAAUAAGCACCGGCUAACUACGUGCCAGCCGCCGCGGUAAUAC
rnacentral:rRNA from 1 species